CUUACAUCUAGGACAAUGUGGCCUUGAUCAGCUGGCCUCUAGGUGCUACUGCAAUAUAAACGUUUAAUGUAAUAACUUAAAAUAGUAGGGCUUUAACCACACUGUAUUAUUUGUCAUACUAAGGGAGACCUGCACAGCUAGCUUUAUUUAUGGCAGGAGGGACUCAAACAUGACAGAAAGGCACUGAUCUGAGCAGAGAAGAAGACAGCAUACUCUGGCAGAGAACUUUCUUUCUUUAAGCGAAGGAUUGCAUACUUCCGUUUGCUAAGAAAUAUGACCUUGGAAACUUUAAAAACACUGCAGCCAGACGGCUCUCUUGUUCUGGGAAUGGAGACAAC
rnacentral:lncRNA from 1 species